GUAGGUGGCAAGCGUUGUCCGGAAUUAUUGGGCGUAAAGCGCGCGCAGGUGGUUCUUUAAGUCUGAUGUGAAGGCCCCCGGCUCAACCGGGGAGGGUCAUUGGAAACUGGGGAACUUGAGUGCAGGAGAGGAAAGUGGAAUUCCACGUGUAGCGGUGAAAUGCGUAGAUAUGUGGAGGAACACCAGUGGCGAAGGCGACUUUCUGGCCUGUAACUGACACUGAGGCGCGAAAGCGUGGGGAGCAAACAGGGAUUAGAUACCCUGGUAGUCCACGCCGUAAACGAUGAGUGCUAAGUGUUGGGGGGGUUUCCGCCCCCUCAGUGCUGCAGCUAACGCAUUAAGCACUCCGCCUGGGAGUACGGUCGCAAGACUG
rnacentral:rRNA from 1 species